rnacentral:rRNA from 2 species
ACAUGCUAGUCGAAGGAGAAGCCGGACUUCNAUUCGGUGGAAACUGGCGCACGGGUGAGUAACGCGUGGGUAUCUACCUUGGGGUGGGGAAUAACCGCUGGAAACGGCGGCUAAUACCGCAUACGCCUUUAGAGGGAAAGCUCCGGCGCCCUAAGAGGAGCCCGCGUUGGAUUAGCUUGUUGGUGGGGUAAUGGCCUACCAAGGCUACNAUCUAUAGCUGGUCUGAGAGGAUGAUCAGCCACACUGGGACUGAGACACGGCCCANACUCCUACGGGAGGCAGCAGUGGGGAAUAUUGGACAAUGGGCGCAAGCCUGAUCCACCCAUGCCGCGUGAGUGAANAAGGCCUUANGGUUGUAAAGCUCUUUCACCUGCNAAGAUGAUGACGGUAGCANGAGAAGAAGCCCCGGCUAACUUCGUGCCAGCAGCCCGCGGUAAUACGGAGGGGGCUAGCGUUUGUUCGGAUUUACUGGGGCGUAAA